rnacentral:rRNA from 1 species
UACGUAGGGUGCAAGCGUUGUCCGGAAUUAUUGGGCGUAAAGAGCUCGUAGGCGGUUUGUCGCGUCGAAUGUGAAAACCCGGGGCUCAACCCCGGACUUGCAGUGGGUACGGGCAGACUAGAGUGUGGUAGGGGAGACUGGAAUUCCUGGUGUAGCGGUGAAAUGCGCAGAUAUCAGGAGGAACACCGAUGGCGAAGGCAGGUCUCUGGGCCACUACUGACGCUGAGACGCGAAAGCGUGGGGAGCGAACAGG